GCAGGAUCUCUGUGAACUCAGAGAAGGCGGCUUGGCGGCUGAACUUGCCGAGGUACGUGGAGAGGAAGGUGCCGCUCGUCACGUUUUCCAAGGGGCAGCCCUUCGCCACUGCGCGCCACGAGAGAGCGAGGCCUGGAAAGCGGAGCAGUUGAACGAGGCCGGCACGGAGGCCACCUGAUGGGGCUGGAUGGCGACGAGGAACGGCGGAAGGCGGCGCGAGAGCCACGCGCCGCCCCACUCGGCCUCGCCUAGCGUGGGGAAGCGCGGCUCCAGCAAGGCCCACACGAAGCCUGUGCCCCCCCUCCCGUCUACCCACCCUCACCCCGCCAGAAAGACCCACGGGUUGAGUGCCGCCGUCUUAGGAGGAUCGCGGUGACUGGACCCCUUCAGCCCAACACUGACACUGAAACCUACGUCGCGUCAUGACGUCACCUUGUCAGCGCGCCGCACAAUGCCGGGGCGCGAGGAGCCGCAGGCAAGCGGGGAAAGGCGGCAGCCAGGCAGUGAGCCGGUGCCGGCAAGUAUCCCAAGCUCUGCGGUCCCCUAUAUAUUAAGAAUGUUUGCGGCCGAGUGUUGACACGCGGGAAGAGACCGGAGCACCCGGGUGGGGGAGGGGGGCCAAACGCACGCGUGCGAGGGGGCAACACUUUAUCCCGUGCGGACGAGGCGAGGCGGAGUCCACAUUUUGUCGCUGUUGUUGUUGUCCUGCCGACUCCCGGGGCGAGCCGGCGUACGACGCCCCACGGGAAUGGGAUUCUCACGACGAUUUGCACGACGAUCCACUGACACCCCCUCCCGCUCCGCUGCCUCCACAAUGCUGGAUGACAGGCCACGUACGCGCAUCACGGCCACCACGGGCGUGUUUUGGCAGCGUUGGGGGUGACAUUCACGAACACGCGCGUCACGCACCCCCCCCACCGCCCUCUUGGCACCACCUGGGCGGAGACUUCCCUUGCCCGCGGCACAACGCUUUGUGCCGCGACUUGACCUUUCCUCUCCGAACA